GAAUCCCCGGGCCCCGGACGAGGGAGCCGUACCCGGAGUCGCGACAAGACGGCCACGGA
rnacentral:ncRNA from 1 species